AAGUUAAAGCGCCAGAACUAAAGCUUAUAAUGAGUAAAACCGCUUUAGUUGACGAGGAUGGGGAGAAUCGAAUCUUCGGCGGGUGCCCCACGGUAUCGCACUACCGUUAACGAUUGAUAAAGCCGGGAAGUGAUUUCCGGAA
rnacentral:ncRNA from 1 species